UGGGGGAUCGUCUAAGGGUAGGACGGCAGAUUCUGGUUCUGUCUGUGAGGGUUCGAAUCCUUCUCCCCCAGCCA
rnacentral:tRNA from 2 species